CACCGUUCGAAACCACACGGUUUAGACCUUUAAGAAAACAUAACAGACGGUAAAAAUUCGGCCCCCCAAUUAAAGAUAAAAUAAAAUUAAUACAACAAUAUCAUUAAAACGAACUAAGUAGUUGAACGUGUUUAAGUGUCGUAACCGCGGCCCCUCUUUUGAGAAAACAUGGCGGACACCGAGACCGUCGAAGAGACGUUCGAAGAAACGGAAACCGAAGUUAGGCGGAAGAUCGUCCGCAAAAGUCUUCGGAUCCAAGAAACUUCGUCCACAACCAAAACCACGACAAUGACCACACCAGCCAAAUUAUAUGGAAAAGAUAUUUCUGAAUAUGAUGAAUUAGAUGUCGACGAAUUACUUUCAAAACUAUCAGCGGAAGAAAUUAAAAUUUUAGCCAAAGAAGUCGAUCCAGAUGAUAGUUUCUUACCACCAUCUCAAAGGUGUAAUUAUGAAUGCGAAAAGGACCCAACAGGGCCCCUUAAUCGGAAGCAGUUGAUUGAACACAUUAAUAAACAAGCUAUUGAGGCGCCUGAUGAACCCGAAUUAAAACCCUAUGUUCCUGGAACAGUUCGAGGCAAAAAGUGGGUUCCACCUCCACCACCUAAAAAAGAACAAGAUGCAAGCGAACAAAUCGCAAUUGAUUUGGGUGAUGAGUACGAACAGGCUUUAACAGAUGCUACACAAGAAGAAAUUAUAGAUUUAGCUGCUAUACUUGGUUUUCACUCAAUGAUGAAUCAAGAUCAAUACCACGCAUCUUUAUUAAACAAAGGACAACCAGUUGGAAUGGGUUGGGAUGGUAUAACGAAAGCAUCCAAACAAAAAAUAUAUCCCCAAGAUCCCCCAAAUGACACAGAUAUAGAAAAAACAAUCAAACAAGUCCAACAGGAUGAUCCAAAAUUGACUGAUUUAAACUGGAAUAACAUCAAAAACAUUUCCGAUGAAAAAUUCGAUGAUUUAUUCGAAGCAUUGUCCAAUAACACCCAUUUAGAAACUCUCUCAUUAACAAACGUCGGUUUAACAGACCGUCAGGCUCAAAAAUUGGCUGAAGCCCUCGAACGUAACAAUACGUUACGAGUGGUGAACGUAGAAACAAACUUUAUCGCACCAACGGGAAUCGUGAGAUUGAUCAAAUCGUUAUUGAAAACGCAGGUUGUCGAAGAGUUUAGAGCUUCAAAUCAACGAUCGCAGGUUUUGGGUAACAAGAUUGAAAUGGAAAUUACGUCGUUAAUUGAGAAAAACCCAACGAUCUUGCGACUGGGGCUUCAUUUAGAAUACAAUGAUGCACGUCAUCGUAUCGCGACACAUUUGCAACGUAACAUCGACACAAUUAGAAAAGACUUGACUCUGCGGCUACAGUUCCGGUUCUUUAAUCAUAGGAAAACACCCCUCAUUAAGUAAAAAUAAACAACAAGAAAGACGCCUUUCUCGACUGGCAUCCACAAGCUCUUAAUGUGUUUUUAAAGAACAAAAAUUCGUCGUAUAAGAACAGCACAUCGCUUGGCAAGAAAUUACACAGUUGGUUUUAUUAAACUGGAUAGACCAUUGAAAGUUAAAGGUUUCGACGACGAAGAUGAUGAUUAUUAAACAAUAAAUAUAUAUAAUCGGCUUUGAUAUAAUACAAUGAGGGCUUAUACAAAAAAAAUUAUGGUAUUCAAAUUAAAAGAAAUGAUAAUGAACUUUUGGAGUCGGUGUCACUGCCAGUUUUUUUUUGAGGCGUUAAAGCACAUAAUUAUGCUAUUUUACUAUUACGAUUUUACAAUUUAAUAAUCGAUUUAAUUAAAAUUAUAUGUAACUUUAAUUUUUAGUGGUAAUAAUGUACUGUAAACGCAUCGAAGGUUCUGUAAAUAUUGUUUGACGAUUUAUUUAGGGUCUCUAUGUGUAAAUUUAAAUUUCUCUGAGUUUAACUUUAAAAAAAACUAUUACUACUUACUACUUGAAAA
rnacentral:misc_RNA from 1 species